rnacentral:rRNA from 1 species
CAGAUUCACUUCGGUGAUGACGCUGGGAACGCGAGCGGCGGAUGGGUGAGUAACACGUGGGUAACCUGCCCUAAAGUCUGGGAUACCACUUGGAAACAGGUGCUAAUACCGGAUAACAACAAUAGCUGCAUGGCUAUUGCUUAAAAGGCGGCGAAAGCUGUCGCUAAAGGAUGGACCCGCGGUGCAUUAGCUAGUUGGUAAGGUAAUGGCUUACCAAGGCGACGAUGCAUAGCCGAGUUGAGAGACUGAUCGGCCACAUUGGGACUGAGACACGGCCCAAACUCCUACGGGAGGCAGCAGUAGGGAAUCUUCCACAAUGGGCGAAAGCCUGAUGGAGCAACGCCGCGUGAGUGAAGAAGGUUUUCGGAUCGUAAAGCUCUGUUGUUGGUGAAGAAGGAUAGAGGUAGUAACUGGCCCCUAUUUGACGGUAAUCAACCAGAAAGUCACGGCUAACUACGUGCCAGCAGCCGCGGUAAUACGUAGGUGGCAAGCGUUGUCCGGAUUUAUUGGGCGUAAAGCGAGCGCAGGCGGAAAGAUAAGUCUGAUGUGAAAGCCCCCGGCUUAACCGAGGAAUUGCAUCGGAAACUGUGUUUCUUGAGUGCAGAAGAGGAGAGUGGAACUCCAUGUGUAGCGGUGGAAUGCGUAGAUAUAUGGAAGAACACCAGUGGCGAAAGCGGCUCUCUGGUCUGUAACUGACGCUG